AGAUAAGGAUGGGCCCAACUUCCCACCUUUUGAUAAGUAAAGAAUAAAACAGAAGCAAACAUAUAAUUUGCAAGGUGACAAGAAAUCUCCCACAGAAAUUGUACAAUAAUAGGAUCUAGUAAAUGCUUGCUAUUCAAAAUAAGUUUACCACCACAGCAUCUGAAAACCUCAUCGUGAAGUGCUUCAGAUUGGGAUCUCGGUGUCUGAUUGUGGAACAGCUCCAUGAAGAGAGAUUGUGAGCAAUGCUUCUUAGACUAGCUGAGAGCCUGUGGGGCAGAACACUUAUUUGGAUAAUGAGAUAAUAGCACCAUAAGGUCUUAAAUAGGAAUCUCCAACAUUUGACUCUUCACUACCGCAUUCCUUGCUAUUAAAUUGUUGUGGUCUGUUUGGUGUUUUCCUGAAAGUAUUAAAUCUUUUUAUCCUCAAGUACUAGUGUGAUCUUGAUGAUAUGAUUAAUUUGACAACAUUUCCAUAUUUCUUAAAAAAACCUCCAAAACAACUGGAUUAACUCUAGGUUAGUUCAGUAAUAUAUCACACAUUGCCAUCAUAAAUAAAUUUGUUUGACAGUACCUACACAUGUGUCCUUUGUUCACUAUCAUAAUUCUGUUAUCUAGUUAAAAACUGUGUUUCUCAAAACAUGAAAUAUGUUUUAAAAGGAUGUAAAAAUGAAAAAAAGUUAAGUUCUUUUAGUCUGUUUGCUGUCAUUCUUGACCAUCCAACUGUAUCACACUUUUAA